CCGCGCCCCGCUGCCCGCGAGGGCCCGGGUGAAGCCAACGCACAUCCGGGGCCUCGGGGGCCAGGGUUCCCUACGCUCUGAUUUGCAGAAGCGUCGUCUGGCAGGACCACUGCCCGCUCCGGCCUGUGCUUCCUGCCCCCUAGACUGCGGGGAUUCGGCACCCUGGCGGAGUCGUCGUCACUUCAGGCGUCGGAGGACAAGCCGGGGGCAGCGGAGCCCCCUCCAUCCACUCCCGUGACGUUUAUGAAAUUCCUGCCAUGGGCCGGGCUCUGAAGAAGCAGCCGGGAAGGAGGGGAGGAUGGGUGACAUCCGGCCUCGCCGCCUCUGAAGCUCGCGGGGAGCGGCCGUGCAGGGUGCGCUGACCCGCGGAGGGAGCCGGGCGGUGCUGGCGCGCCUUGCAGGUGAUAUUCCAGGGGGAACGCAGCACCUGGAAUCCUUCAACCCGCUCAGCGUCUCCACCGUGUUCCACAGCCCCGAGGUUAGGCUCAGUGCUCCUCUAAACAAAGAGCUCUACAGAUAAAAUGUGGAAAGACCACUGUUUCACUGGGGAACAGACAACAGUUAAAGACAACAAUGAAAUCACAAGAUGACAGCUUCAUAUACAUGAAGAUCUAAGAAGAAAUUCCUUGGCAUUUGGAUUGGGGUUGCAUUGAAUCUAUAAAUUCCUUUGGAUAGUAUGGACAUUUUGAUAUUAAUUCUUCUAAUCCAUGAACAUUAAAGAUUUUUCCAAUA